rnacentral:rRNA from 1 species
UACAGAGGUGGCAAGCGUUGUUCGGAAUUACUGGGCGUAAAGGGCGCGUAGGCGGCCUUCUAAGUCAGACGUGAAAUCCCCCGGCUUAACCUGGGAACUGCGUCUGAUACUGGAGGGCUUGAGUAUGGGAGAGGGAUGUAGAAUUCCAGGUGUAGCGGUGAAAUGCGCAGAUAUCAGGAGGAACACCGGUGGCGAAGGCGGGUCUCUGGGAAGUAACUGACGCUGAGAAGCGAAAGCAUGGGUAGCAAACAGG